CUGAUAGACAACUUUGACACCUGAUCUCUGGGGACCUUAUGGAGUCACUCAGAGUUCUUAAGAGACUUCCCUUACUUUAUCAUUCCAGAAAGAAUUGUCACAGGAUGCGCAGUGGACCAGAUGACUUUGGAAGAGAAGCAGGCAACGUGGCUCCCAGGAAAAUGGCCUGAACAGAACCAUGAGAGGAAGGCUGUCAGUUCAUGGAAGGG